UACGUAGGGUGCGAGCGUUGUCCGGAAUUACUGGGCGUAAAGAGCUCGUAGGUGGUUUGUCGCGUUGUUCGUGAAAACUCACAGCUUAACUGUGGGCGUGCGGGCGAUACGGGCAGGCUAGAGUUCGGUAGGGGGAGACUGGAAUUCCUGGUGUAGCGGUGAAAUGCGCAGAUAUCAGGAGGAACACCGGUGGCGAAGGCGGGUCUCUGGGCCGAUACUGACGCUGAGGAGCGAAGCGUGGGGAGCGAACAGG
rnacentral:rRNA from 1 species